rnacentral:rRNA from 1 species
AGCGAACGCUGGCGGCAGGCUUAACACAUGCAAGUCGAGCGGGCAUCCUUGUGGUGUCUGCGGCAGACGGGUGAGUAACGCGUGGGAACGUGCCCUUCGGUUCGGAAUAACUUAGGGGAAAUUGUGCUAAUACUGGAGACGUUCGAGAGCAGGAGGGUCUGUCUGCGGAGGGAGCGGGGCGCGUCUGAUUGGCUGGUGGGUGAGGUUACGGCUCACCAAGGCGAGGUUCAGUAGCUGGUCUGCGAGGAUGCUCAGCCACACUGGGACUGAGACCCGGCCCAGACUCCUACGGGAGGGAGCAGAGGGGAAUAUUGGACGAUGGGGGCAACCCUGACCCAGCCAUGCCGGGUGAGUGAUGACGGCCUUAGGGUUGUGAAGCUCUUUUCUCCGGGACGAUAAUGACGGUACCGGAGGAAUAAGCCCCGGCUAACUUCGUG